GAUGAACGCUGGCGGCGUGCCUAAUACAUGCAAGUCGAGCGAACAGACGAGGAGCUUGCUCCUCUGACGUUAGCGGCGGACGGGUGAGUAACACGUGGAUAACCUACCUAUAAGACUGGGAUAACUUCGGGAAACCGGAGCUAAUACCGGAUAAUAUAUUGAACCGCAUGGUUCAAUAGUGAAAGACGGUUUUGCUGUCACUUAUAGAUGGAUCCGCGCCGCAUUAGCUAGUUGGUAAGGUAACGGCUUACCAAGGCAACGAUGCGUAGCCGACCUGAGAGGGUGAUCGGUAAAACUGGAACUGAGACACGGUCCAGACUCCUACGGGAGGCAGAAGUAGGGAAUCUUCCGCAAUGGGCGAAAGCUUGACGGAGCAACGCCGCGUGAGUGAUGAAGGUCUUCGGAUCGUAAAACUCUGUUAUUAGGGAAGAACAAAUGUGUAAGUAACUAUGCACGUCUUGACGGUACCUAAUCAGAAAGCCACGGCUAACUACGUG
rnacentral:rRNA from 1 species